rnacentral:rRNA from 1 species
ACUCCUACGGGAGGCAGCAGUGGGGAAUAUUGGACAAUGGGCGAAAGCCUGAUCCAGCCAUGCCGCGUGUGUGAAGAAGGCCUUUUGGUUGUAAAAGCACUUUAAAGCGAGGAGGAGGCUACUUGGAUUAAUACUCUAGGAUAGUGGACGUUACUCGCAGAAUAAGCACCGGCUAACUCUGUGCCAGCAGCCGCGGUAAUACAGAGGGGUGCGAGCGUUAAUCGGAUUUACUGGGGCGUAAAGCGUGCGUAGGCGGACCAGAAAGUUGGGGGUGAAAUCCCGGGGGCUCAACCCCGGAACUGCCUCCAAAACUCCUGGUCUUGAGUUCGAGAGAGGUGAGUGGAAUUCCGAGUGUAGAGGUGAAAUUCGUAGAUAUUCGGAGGAACACCAGUGGCGAAGGCGGCUCACUGGCUCGAUACUGACGCUGAGGUGCGAAAGUGUGGGGAGCAAACAGGAUUAGAUACCCUGGUAGGACAGUG